GACGAACGCUGGCGGCGUGCCUAAUACAUGCAAGUCGAGCGAGCGGAACUAACAGAUUUACUUCGGUAAUGACGUUAGGAAAGCGAGCGGCGGAUGGGUGAGUAACACGUGGGGAACCUGCCCCAUAGUCUGGGAUACCACUUGGAAACAGGUGCUAAUACCGGAUAAGAAAGCAGAUCGCAUGAUCAGCUUUUAAAAGGCGGCGUAAGCUGUCGCUAUGGGAUGGCCCCGCGGUGCAUUAGCUAGUUGGUAAGGUAAAGGCUUACCAAGGCGAUGAUGCAUAGCCGAGUCGAGAGACUGAUCGGCCACAUUGGGACUGAGACACGGCCCAAACUCCUACGGGAGGCAGCAGUAGGGAAUCUUCCACAAUGGACGCAAGUCUGAUGGAGCAACGCCGCGUGAGUGAAGAAGGUUUUCGGAUCGUAAAGCUCUGUUGUUGGUGAAGAAGGAUAGAGGUAGUAACUGGCCUUUAUUUGACGGUAAUCAACCAGAAAGUCACGGCUAACUACGU
rnacentral:rRNA from 1 species